rnacentral:lncRNA from 1 species
UCGAUGGUUACUAGGUGACUCCGCCCGACCCCGCCUUCUGCAUGUUUUCUUGCUUUAGGUUAUUGGCUUCACUUCCUAUUGGGCCUUUUUAGAAGGAAUUAUCAAUCAAACCUGAGGCUGGGCAAAUGAAAAGAUUGAGGGAAGGAGGAACCGGUGUUGUCUGAUUGAAGAUGGAUUGAUGAGGGCUUUAUUUACCAAGUAAAGGGCGGAUUUGAGAAAGUGGAUAAUCACACCCCGGCCACGCGGACGGAAGUGCUAAUCUGGACCAGUGGCAAGGGUUGAAGGUUGAAAUUUGGUGUAGAGAUCACCCAAGAGAGUGUCUUAUAGGGAAACACACGAGACCAGGAUAAAGUGGUUGGAGGAGACAUAAGAACCAUAGGCUGAAGAAGACAAUGGAGACCGGGAAAUGUGUUACAGAGAGAUUGGAGAAAGGGUUCUAGGUCUCCGGCAGGUGCUAAGUUCAGGAGAAAGACCCAUGACCAGCUGCAGCCUGAGCUUCAAGAGCCAUUCAGAAAGGUGGCCUGUGUGUUUGUGUCUAAGUGUUCAACUACUUGCUCUGCUUAUCUUUCCCAGCUCACCCCAGAUCUGCUCACUGAGCCCCACACCGCUCUCUGGCUUACUCUACCAAGAACUCUUAACUCUCCUUCACCUGGCUCUCCCCCGUCCUUCGAGACCAGCCUCCAAGUCAGCCUCUCUCAGAUAAGCUUUGCCAAUCGCUCCACCAUCUCCAUGACCCUCUCUCUGUCCCUAGUACACUUUUCAACUGAUACAUCUCUGUCUUGUUCUCCGCGGUUUAUGCAUUUAA